GGUAACGUGGUGCCAGCAGCCGCGGGAAGACUGAGGGGUGAAGGGUAAAGCGGAAGUAAUGGGCGUGAAGCGCGCGUAGGGGGGUCAGUAAGAUGGGUGUGAAAUCCCCGGGCUGAACCUGGGAACGGCUUUCAUAACUGCUGAGCAAGAGUACGGUAGAGGGUAGUGGAAUUUCCUGUGUAGCGGUGAAAUGCGUAGAUAUAGGAAGGAACACCAGUGGCGAAGGCGACUACCUGGACUGAUACUGACACUGAGGUGCGAAAGCGUGGGGAGCAAACAGGAUUAGAUACCCCAGUAGUC
rnacentral:rRNA from 1 species